UAAUAAUCUAUCAAAAAUCAAAAUCAUCAGGAUAAUAUUAGGUAUUGAUUUUCAGACAAGAAUUAGGUUACAGUGAUGGUCAAAAGCAUUUAGAUAUUGCUUUGAAAUCUACAGAUAAGAAAUACUGUCCACUUCAGUAUUUACAUAGGAAAAUAUUGGAAGAUGAAGCUCUACCUACUGCCUCAGGUUAAUUUAAAUUCUGAAUUGCAACAACAGCAACAAGCAAGAAGGGCACCAUUAAAUGAAUAUUAUACACAUAAGUAUUAUUAUACACAGAAAGAGUAAUGUUAUACACAUAAAUAUUAACAUUUUGUAGAGCAACAACACAAUA